rnacentral:rRNA from 1 species
CACGUAGGGCGCAAGCGUUGUCCGGAAUUAUUGGGCGUAAAGAGCUCGUAGGUGGUUUGUUACGUCUGCUGUGAAAACCUAGGGCUUAACCCUGGGCUUGCAGUGGAUACGGGCAGACUAGAGGUAGGUAGGGGAGAAUGGAAUUCCUGGUGUAGCGGUGGAAUGCGCAGAUAUCAGGAGGAACACCAAUAGCGAAGGCAGCUCGCUGGGACGGUAUUGACGCUAAGGCGCGAAAGCGUGGGGAGCAAACAGG